GGGAACGGAGGCUGGAUCUCGGGAAACCUCGUCGGCAGUGUCAUUAGAGGAAGGAUCGCGUGUCUCGGGGAUACGGAUUUUGGAGGAAAAGCAGAAUAGGGACAAAGAGCAGGAAGCCGCCUACCACCAUGAGCAGCACGCUGUCACCCACAGACUUUGACAGCUUGGAAAUCCAGGGCCAGUACAGUGACAUCAACAACCGCUGGGACCUUCCUGACUCGGACUGGGA
rnacentral:lncRNA from 1 species